UACGUAGGUGACAAGCGUUGUCCGGAAUUACUGGGCGUAAAGGGCUCGUAGGUGGCCAACUAAGUCAGACGUGAAAUCCCUCGGCUUAACCGGGGAACUGCGUCUGAUACUGGAUGGCUUGAGUUUGGGAGAGGGAUGCGGAAUUCCAGGUGUAGCGGUGAAAUGCGUAGAUAUCUGGAGGAACACCGGUGGCGAAGGCGGCAUCCUGGACCAAUACUGACACUGAGGAGCGAAAGCCAGGGGAGCAAACGGG
rnacentral:rRNA from 1 species